UUAGGAAUUUUGGGCAAUGGGCGAAAGCCUGACCCAGCAACGCCGCGUGGGUGAAGAAGGUCUUCGGAUCGUAAAGCCCUUUUCUGUGGGAAGAUGAUGACGGUACCACAGGAAUAAGCAUCGGCUAACUACGUGCCAGCAGCCGCGGUAAUACGUAGGAUGCGAGCGUUGUCCGGAUUUAUUGGGCGUAAAGAGCGCGCAGGCGGUUAGGAAAGUUGGAUGUGAAAGACCCUGGCUUAACUAGGGGAGGUCAUUCAAAACUAUCUAGCUUGAGGGCAGCAGAGGAAAGUGGAAUUCCCGGUGUAGUGGUGAAAUGCGUAGAUAUCGGGAGGAACACCAGUGGCGAAGGCGGCUUUCUGGGCUGUCACUGACGCUGAGGCGCGAAAGCGUGGGUAGCGAACCGA
rnacentral:rRNA from 1 species